UACGUAGGGGGCAAGCGUUGUCCGGAAUUAUUGGGCGUAAAGCGCGCGCAGGCGGUCAUUUAAGUCUGGUGUAUAAACCAAGGGCUCAACCUUUGGACGCAUUGGAAACUGGGUGACUGGAGUGUAGGAGAGGAAAGUGGAAUUCCACGUGUAGCGGUGAAAUGCGCAGAUAUCGGGAGGAACACCUAUGGCGAAGGCAGCUCGCUGGGACGUUACUGACGCUGAGACGCGAAAGCGUGGGGAGCAAACAGG
rnacentral:rRNA from 1 species